rnacentral:rRNA from 1 species
UAGGGAAUCUUCGGCAAUGGGGGCAACCCUGACCGAGCAACGCCGCGUGAGUGAAGAAGGUUUUCGGAUCGUAAAGCUCUGUUGUAAGAGAAGAACGUGUGUGAGAGUGGAAAGUUCACACAGUGACGGUAACUUACCAGAAAGGGACGGCUAACUACGUGCCAGCAGCCGCGGUAAUACGUAGGUCCCGAGCGUUGUCCGGAUUUAUUGGGCGUAAAGCGAGCGCAGGCGGUUGAAUAAGUCUGAAGUUAAAGGCAGUGGCUUAACCAUUGGUCGAAUUGGAAAGUGUUAAGCUUGAGUGCAGAAGGGGAGAGGGGAAUUCCAGGUGUAGCGGUGAAAUGCGUAGAGAUAUGGAGGAGCACCGGUGGCGAAAGCGGCUCUCUGGUCUGUAACUGACGCGGAGGCUCGAAAGCGUGGGGAGCAAACAGG